GAACCUUAGCUCAGUGGUUGAGCAUCUGCUUUGCAUGCAGGAGGUCCCGGGUUCAAUCCCUAGCAGCAUCU
rnacentral:tRNA from 1 species